GUUUCCCAGGGUGGUGAGAAGAAAAGGGGAGGAGAUGAUUUUUGCUUGGGGCGGAGGGAGGCGAGAGCCUUGGCAGAACUGAGUUUUGGCCGGACAGAGGAGGAAGCAUUCCAUUGAAGUGAUUUGAGGAGCUGGAUUCGGGGUUGGGGGCAGGAGGUGGGGGCAGAGACUGCUGUCACAGCACGAUUUGGCAAUUCCCCAAAGGUCGUUUCCCACCCUCUGGUAUAAGGGCGGGACGAAACCAAAUGGAUUUUUGUGGAAGUAGGAGGGGAUCGGAGGGGACCCAAACCUCUUGGAGAGCAGGAAGGAGGCUGGGACUGAGGUCUGGGCCCCCUAGGAAGAAGACUGAUGGCCUCGUAGAAAAUGACGAGCCCUGGGGGACGCUGUUUCGAGUCUGGGAAGAAAAGAAGAAGGCUUGAAGACUGGGGGGGUGGAAGUGAUCCCAGGAGAGAAAAAAGAAUAUGUACUACCUCCUAAUGGCACACAAAGGAAAUAUGGACCAUCAUCACCAUCAUGGUUAUCCAUCUACUCCAGGAUCUGAAGUCUGCUUAAUACAAGACAUAUUUGCAUUUUGAAACAGAGGAGAUCUAUUGGCUAUCCUGGUGUUAGGACAAGGAGUUCUUUGUCACCAUAAAAAGAGCAACUAUAAAUAUUCAGGAACAUACAGGUUCUUUUCCCCAAAAAGGACUUUAAAAAGUCAGAUUCAAAAGGAAGAGAAGGGACUGCUGCCUGGGAGUGGAUGAAGCAAAGCGCAAUAAUAUUCUGUUACAACCAUAUGCCAGAACCUGUUCAUCCAUUCCCCAAGUGAUGAACAACCCUUCAAUUUCCAAUUCUUUGCCACUACAAAAGGAGCUGCUAAAAAUAUCUUAGUACA